CUGGAGGUGCUUAUUCUAACACCUGCACACCCGAGGAUGGGCAGUGUGAAUGCCGCUCCCACGUUGUUGGCCGAAGCUGCACCAAACCUGCCCCCGGCUACUUCUUUGCUCCUUUGAAUUUCUACCUCUCUGAGGCAGAGGAAGCCACGCCCCUCCAAGGACUGGCGCCUUUGGUUCGUAUCUCAUUGAUUCUCCCCACAGACUUCAUUUGAUGGCGCACAGAUAUUAGCAACAGCUUUGCCAACGUGUGAUGUAUAUUUCCAGCAACAAGGAAAUUAUUUCAGAAUUGAUAAAAGAAAUAUAGUACUGAAGAAAGAUCAGAGGCAAAGCAUACGUACUGAUGAGCAGAAUGAGGUAAGGCAUUUAUUCACAGCCAUUGUCACAGGCCAUAAAUGAAAAAUACAAUCAUGCACAUAGAACUAUGCCUGGCCCUCAUGAGCCCAGUUAGUGUAAGCUUUUAUUACCCUCAUGAAUAGAAAUGGAGGGAAGGAAGAACCAGGCACGGAAGAAUUACAGCCUUUGGGGAAAACUCCAAUGCAUUAUUCCUCUUCAAAACAAAACAUUCUAGAACACUGGCAUCUG
rnacentral:lncRNA from 1 species